UUCUGGCUCAGGAUGAACGCUGGCGGCGUGCCUAACACAUGCAAGUCGAACGGGACUUAUGACGAACGAGGCUUCGGCCAAGGGAAUUGUAAGUCUAGUGGCGGACGGGUGAGUAACGCGUGGGGAACCUGCCCUGUACUGGGGGAUAACAGUGAGAAAUCACUGCUAAUACCGCAUAAGCGCACAUGGCCGCAUGGCCGAGUGCGAAAAGCUCCGGCGAUACAGGAUGGACCCGCGUUGGAUUAGCUUGUUGGCGGGUAACGGCCCACCAAGGCGACGAUCCAUAGCCGGCCUGAGAGGGUGAACGGCCACAUUGGGACUGAGACACGGCCCAGACUCCUACGGGAGGCAGCAGUGGGGAAUAUUGCACAAUGGGGGGAACCCUGAUGCCAGCGACGCCGCGUGAAGGAAGAAGUAUCUCGGUAUGUAAACUUCUAUCAGCAGGGAAGAUGAUGACGGUACCUGACUAAGAAGCCCCGGCUAACUACGUGCCAGCCGCCGC
rnacentral:rRNA from 1 species